CCCAGACUCCUACGGGAGGCAGCAGUGGGGAAUAUUGCACAAUGGGGGAAACCCUGAUGCAGCGACGCCGCGUGAGCGAUGAAGUAUUUCGGUAUGUAAAGCUCUAUCAGCAGGGAAGAAGAUGACGGUACCUGACUAAGAAGCCCCGGCUAACUACGUGCCAGCAGCCGCGGUAAUACGUAGGGGGCAAGCGUUAUCCGGAUUUACUGGGUGUAAAGGGAGCGUAGACGGCGAUGCAAGCCAGAUGUGAAAGCCCGGGGCUCAACCCCGGGACUGCAUUUGGAACUGUGUGGCUGGAGUGCCGGAGAGGCAGGCGGAAUUCCUAGUGUAGCGGUGAAAUGCGUAGAUAUUAGGAGGAACACCAGUGGCGAAGGCGGCCUGCUGGACGGUGACUGACGCUGAGGCUCGAAAGCGUGGGGAGCAAACAGGAUUAGAUACCCCUGUAGAU
rnacentral:rRNA from 1 species